GCCGAUGUAGCUCAGUUGGUAGAGCAACGCACUCGUAACGCGUAGGUCAGCGGUUCAAGCCCGCUCAUCGGCUCCA
rnacentral:tRNA from 1 species